CCCUUAGAUGUUCUGGGCCGCACGCGUGCUACACUGAGUGGAUCAGCGGGUCAGGUUGCGCGAAAGCGUUUCCUAAUCUUUAAAUCCGCUCGUGAUGGGGAUUGACGGUUGCAAUUUUCUGUCAUGAACGAGGAAUACCUUGUAAGCGCGGGUCAUCAUCCCGCGCUGAAUACGUCCCUGCCCUUUGUACACACCGCCCGUCGCUCCUACCGAUUGAGUGGUCCGGUGAGGCUUUGGGAUCUGAGCGGAAAGAGUGUUUCGCUGUUUCUGCUCGGAAAACUCAGUCGAACCUUAUCAUUUAGAGGAAGGAGAAGUCGUAACA
rnacentral:rRNA from 1 species